rnacentral:snRNA from 1 species
GUGCUCGCUUUGGCAGCACAUAUACUAAAAUUGCAACGAUACAGAGAUUAGCAUGGCCCUUGCACAAGGAUGACAAGUUAAAGAAAAAUUUAUAAAAUUA